GAUGCGUUCUAGGCGGUUUCACCACGGGUGGAGUUUGUUGCUGCCAAGGAAGAAGUCAGCCUAGGCGAGACACAGCAGGCCUUGUUGGAGUAGGAGUGGGGUCGGGGUUGCUGACCCACGUGAAGAGCCCCGUGCCCUGCCAUUCGGCCAAAGAGGGCUCCUGAGGAAGAAGGAAGUUGUUGCACAUCUGAAUCCAGAUCAGGAACUGGCUAGUCCUGGCAGAGGCGGACCCUCCAGAGCCAGCAAGAUCCCAGGUGUCAACGCAUCAGAAUACAGCGGGGAAGCACCUGGGUAAUACGCCUCCUUGGCCUUCCUGUGACAUUCCACCCACCGUCCUGAACCUCCCCCCUCCCUCACUUUCUACCAGUCCUCAGUCUUCCGGUUCUCCUGUCUGACCUGCCCAUCCCUUCUCAGUGUCUGUCCCGGUGUCUGUGCCUACCACGCCUGGCUGGGGGAUCUCCUCAUGCUGCUUGUCUCUUUGGGGAGACUUGCCCAGGCCCCUGGCUUCAGCAGUCACCUAGGCGCUGGUUAUUCCCGAAUCUCCAUUUCUAUCCAGACCUCUCCCCUGAGCCAAGACCCUGCAGCCAAGUGCUUACAGGGUGCCUGCACCUGAGUGUCUCAGCUGGAAGCUGGACAAACCCAGGGGCAAACCCAACACGUCCGUCAUCCCAACCCUGGCCCCUCCCCCUAUAGUGCCGAUAUUUGGUGAAUGGCCACCGCAGCCUACCUUGGGACCCAGGCCAGGAAACUGAGAGCUGUCCUAGACUCCCCCCUCCCCGCAAACAGUAAUCAGGCCUUUUCAAAGUCUCCGGUCAUCUCCUCCCCACGCCACCGCCACUGCUCUGGUUCAAAGACCGCAGCCUGCUCCGGAUCAGCCAGCCUCCAGUGGAGGCAGAAGCCGCACCAGUUACCAUCUCGGUAUAAAGAUGUUAUCCAGGUAACUGAACGGAUACAAAGAGGACUCCAAGGCAGCAGCCCUUCAACUUGAACACAUUGCCCGGAGGACUUGUUAAGACACGGACUGCAGAGCCUGACACUAGAGUCUCUGACUGGUCUGGGAGGGGACCUGGAGUUUCGCGUCUCUACCGACUCCCGGGCUGAGGCCGCCGAGGCCCAGGCCCAGGCGGAGGCUGCAGGUCUGCGGGCCUCGCUGAAACCCGCGGCUCUAAGGUGCGGGAGGACCAAGCGCGGGAAGCCGCUCCACAGGGCUCCCGGAGCCCGGGGAACAAAGACUCUGCACCAGCUGCCUGGCGCUGACGUGUGUCAUGAAACUGGUUUUGCAAGUGUUGGAAAACGGGACAAACUCCAGGAAGGAACUACUGUGGCUGCUGCGGGAGGAGUGAAGUGUUGCCCAGGUAACGCCAACGGUAACAGCCCGCAAGUCCCUUUGGCGGAAGGUGUGCGGAGGUGCUGGGAAGAGGUUCCCAGGAGGCAGAACUUGGAAAGUCCUGGGCAAACCGGGACCUAGAACCAUCCAUCGGGCAGAGCAGCAUGUGGUUCGCCCGAUCGGCAUCACUAAGUGCGGAAUAGGAGACUGGGCUUCCCGGCCUCUGCAUCCUCAAGGCUGCCUCAAGAGAAGCUUUAUAAAUUGGUAAAACUGGUCGUUUCAGACUCUUGACAAAAAGUUUUUCAAUACCGCUUGUGAUUUCGUGAUUUAUAAUGAACAGAUAUUUGGUCUCUGUUCCCUUUCCCAGCACAGAGCUCCUAAAACCCUUGGAGUUUCCAAAGUGAUAAAGGUGAUAGGAGUGUCCUUCCUUAACAAGCGUCUUUCAGCCACACUUGACUUUGGGAAAAGCCCCUAGAACCUAAGGAUAGGGACUGGUGACCAGAGCCCAGGUGGCAAACACAAGGCCCGCAGGCUGAAUCCGGGCCUCCAGCUUGGUUUAUCCAGCCCGGCACCUUGCUUCUACGGGGAGGCACAGCCCGGCUCCCACUUAACUGUUACGGAGCAGUUACAUUUACACAGUCCUAAAAUGACAUUCGGCCCUUUGAAGGCAACCUCGAGGCUGGUGUGGCCCCCGGUGAACAUGAGUUUGACCCCCUUAGAUUAGAGCGUUGGAACUUUCAGAACCACUCACCCGCCUCGCAAUCCCAACCCCAGGCUGGAGGUUGAGUUAAUCCCCAGUGGCCAUAGAUUUAAUCAAUCAUACCUACCUAAUGAAGCCUUUUUAAAAUCCUCUGAGGUGUUCAGAUUGCUUCCCAUGCAAGAAAGGGCCUGCUCCUCCCCCACUCCUUGCCCUUUGCAUCUCUUCCAUCCAGCUGUUCCAGAGCUGUAGCCUUUUAUAACUAACCAGUAAUCUAGUAGGUGAAUUUUUUCCUAAAUUCUGCGAGCAGUUCUAGCAGGGAGCCCCCAGUGUGUAGCCAAGCUGGUCAGAUUGUGGGUAACCUAAAGGGCCCGCUACUACUUGCAAUUGGCAAGGGAAGGGGGUUCAGGGGGUGUCUUCUGGGACUGGAGCCCUUACCGGGUGGGAGCAGAUGCUAACUUCAGAAACACAGUUUCAGAAUUUAAUUGAGUUAUAGGACACCCAGCUGGUGUCGGCAGAGAACUGGAGAAUUUCCCGGUGGGGACGAAGCCCCACACCCUGAGGAGCAGGCUUGGAGUACUGAGAGCAGAGUGGGGGGCAGAGGCACAAAUGGAGUUUUUCCUUUUCUCUCUCCACCAGCCAAUCACGGUGAAACUUCAACUAUUUAAGGCAGCAUAAAAGCCUUUUCAAAGUUAUCUUCAAUUACAGCCUGGCCUCAUCUCCAUUCCUUAUCCUGGCAUUCUGGAAAUGCAUAAAUCGAUGGGUUCCUAGGGCAAAUCAUAUUCUCAAGACGCUGAGCUUUGGUUAUACUAUUCCCUCAUCUGGAUGAAAAGCACAUGGACCCCCUUUUCUCAGAGGGAAAUAUAAGAUCAGAAUAUGUGCUUCCCCUUUAAGAACGGAAGUUACUUUUUCUCAUUCUGUAAAGUGUCAGCUGGACUUGAAGGCCAAAGAAAAUCUCAAAGCAAAUUCCACGGUAUUUGCUGUUGUUACGGUAAACUUUUGAAUUCCACGGUAUUUACUGUUGUUACGCUUCUGGCACCCAGGGAGGAGAAAAAGAUAAGAACACUGCCUGUGAUGAUGAAACUUGUUAGUUUUUCUUUCCUGUUAAAGAUAUUUUUACUUGAACUCUCUUUAAGGUUUGAAACAUUUUUAGACAAAUUCCACAAAUGAAAAGCAGUGGUUGGUUUAAAAAUUAGACACGGUUUUAUAAAAUCAUGCCAGAUGGUAUCUAAGAUUUAGCAAUAGUGUUCUAAGCCUGUGGUCCAGUUCAAAGUCCGUAAACUUCUCAUGUGGUUAUGUGGUUAACAGAGUGAUUUUGCUCACUUGCUCUCUCUCUCCUGCAAUACUUUUUAAAAAUUAAUUAUGUGGUUCUGGCCGGUCUUGUUCGGUUUUUCGCCUGUGUAAAUUCCUUUGUGGCCCUGGCUGGCGUGGCUCAGUGGAUUGAGUGCCAGCCUGCAGACUGAGAGGCAACCGGUUUGGUUCCCGGUCAGGGCACAAGCCUGGGUUGUGGGUUUCAGUCCCCAUCUGGGGCACAUGCAACUGACUGGUAUUUCUCUCCCUCUUUUCCUGUCUCUCUAAAAUAAAGAAAUAAAAUCUUCAAAAAACAUUCCUUUGUGAAGACUUCUAAGGCAAACUCUGAGCUCUUUAGAGGAUCCCAGUAGAAUGAACAGCUUCUCCCUCCAUUGAGUUAGAUUGUAACUGUUUGCAUAACUAUCUUUCUACUCUGCUGAUUCUCCUCUUGGACAGUAACGGUGGGUUCUGGUGUUUGGACUCCAUGUUUUUAGCAUAUCCUUCCAUGGUAGACCCUCACCAAACAGUACUUUAGUGAAUGCAACAGAUUUUUGAUAAAGCUGAGUUCCAAAGCAGCCCGGCUGUUGUAGACCGCUCUGCCUGAUUUUAGGAAUUGUAUCUCUACCCCUUGUGGCUAAGGGCGAGGGACGACUUUUGGAAUGCCAGCCACAGGAGGCAAAGCCUGUCUCUGGUAGCAAACACUGCCUCAGUUCCUCUCCCUGCCACCAAAGCUUGGUCAGAAGUCAGUGACGGAUCUCAUCAUGUCUCAGCCAUAUUCAUUCACUCGUGUUCGUGGCACCAGGAGGGACUCAAGAGGAAGUCGCUCCCACAUCUGGUGCUCAGAACAGGGACACGAACGGACCUUCUUCAAGCCAGAGGCCUAGAGCUAUGCCAUGGACACGCCUGCCACGGACAUGACCUUUAAGAAGCAGCAGCGAGUGCACGCAGGUAAUGACAGCAGCAGCCGUUGCACACCGUUUGCUACCGAGAGACUUAGAACGCUGACCAGCCCAGCGGUGGCGCCACUGGACUGGCCACACUGGCAGCCGUGGUGGGCGCUGGCCAGCUCUGUUUCCUAGCAACAGGUAAGAUUUCAGAGAGUGGGCGGGGCUAUUAUCAUUGAAACUGGUUUUCUAAGCACCUCAUCUUGUGGCGUGAGGGAUCUUAACACUUUAAAAAUAAAAAUCUUUUUAACAAACAAAAAAGGAGGAGUCAUGAGCCCUUCCCCCCCCAAAUUUAAUUUUACCUACAAUUUUCUAAAUUAUGAUGAGUUGCUUUGUAUUCCAAUUGUAAAAUAUUUUCAGACAGAAUUCGAAGCCAUAUUACCCCCAGAUUUUAACUCUUAACUUGGAGAAGAGGGUACGCUGUUUGCUUUUCAGAAUGACCUUUAGAACUGCAGGCAAUCAGGGUGAAGCCAUAUCACAGAAAAGGCUUCCCCGACGGGCAACGCAUCUCCACACAUUAGACUCUCCUGAUCCAGACUUCUCCAAGCUGUGCAGAAUUCCAGCCAACACCCCUGGAGUGAUAUUCAACAUCACCUAAGAGAGACUUUUCCUACCAAGCUAAAGGGACUAAAUUGGUGCUGCAGGACAUUUAACGCUUAACCAAGCAGGUUUUUCAGACCCUUCAUGCUGAACUCCAAACAUUGGUUUGAUGGACUUAAUUUGAGAAUGCGGGUCAUUGGACCCACUGGUUGUUUAUUGAUUUUAAUGAUGCUUUCUAACUUACUCUUACCAAACUGUCUCACCCUGAGUUCAGAUACUAACCCUUGGUGCAUAUCUUUAAAAUAACUUUGUAAAGUCUGUGCUAAUUCUCCCCAAAAUUGAAAUGUAACCAGACCUGUUACUUUUGUCUUUCCCAUGCAUUUAUAUCAUAUUUCAACUGACUGAAUUUAGGAGUUUGAGUUAUGACAGCCCUUAGAUGCCUUGUUUGAAUUCUUAUUUGUGCUUUAUGAUGUAUCUGGAAGUUGAUUUCUUGUGAUUGCAUUCGGGAACAGCAAAUAGUAGGUUUCCCAGGCCUAACAAUUUCAAUUGAUUUAACAAACAGAAAAGGGGGAGAUGUUGUAGACCGCUCUGCCUGAUUUUAGGAAUUGUAUCUCUACCCCUUGUGGCUAAGGGCGAGGGACGACCUUUGGAAUGCCAGCCACAGGAGACAAAGCCUGUCUCUGGUAGCAAACGCUGCCUCAGUUCCUCUCCCUGCCCCCAGAGCUUGGUCAGAAGUCAAUGACGGGUAAGACUCCUCACAGCGGGGGGCAACCUAAGCCAGACUCGAUCACUUGGGAGGCCUUCAUGGAAGGACUGGGGUGGGGGGGCUGCAACAAAGAGCAAUGGACUCUCACCCCCCAGCUUUGACAAAGCCCGAGUCCUGAUGUUCUCUGGGAGAAGCGCUUCCUGGCUCUAAUCCCCUUAAGCCCGAAUACCUGUUGGGAAGAGGUGCAGCUCCUUGCCUUGCUAGAGCCUGUCCUGGGGAAAAAUCUGGCAUCACAAAAGACUUGCUGAUAAACCUGUGAAAUCUGCUCUGCUAAGAGUGCUCUCAUUCAUAUGAUAAGGGUCUGAGAGGAAAUGAGUAUGUCUCCCAAAGUUUCUGCAACUCUCUUCCUGACAGACACUGACUCAUAGUAAGUCCUCAGAUCUCUUUGAAAUGUUAUCUGCUGUUUGAUCGUUACCACCCUGUAUUCCUGUGUAUUACAACCCAAUAAAAGGCUAUGGAUGAGGGCGCUUGGGGCCUUUUUCUCCUCAGAGAAACUGGCCACUGCUGGCCUUUGUCUCCCCUGAGAAACUGGCCACAGCCCACUCCUCCUCCCCAGAUCUC